CCCUUUUGUAGGUUAAUGGCUAAAAAAAGAAAGCAAAGAAGCCAAUCGGAAGACAACUUAGCCUCUAAUCCAGAAGAUAAGGCCUCUGAUGCUGAAAAGAUUAGACGUGAAGAUGAGAGAGGUCGCACUGUACUUGCAAAGGUGGGAAAGGCGAUUCACAGUGGAACUAAAAUCCCGGUGGAAUGGCACCCGACACGUAAUGUACCAAGAGGGGAUCGCACUACUCUUUCCACUUACAUUGGUGUAGUUGUUCGGGAACGUGUAAGCAUAAAUUAUAAGAAAUGGAGUGAUGUUCCAAAAGAAUUGAAGAAUGAGGUGUGCGAGUUCAUCAUGAAAGGGUUUGAAGUGCCAGAGAAACGUAAAGCAUGGGUCUUAGGUAGAGCCUCCAAUCGGUGGAGGGCUUUCAAGACAAGAUUGAGAAAGGUGUGCUUGUACAGAUCAUCUGGAAAGAUAAGGCAAACAAAACCUUGGAAAUAUAAUUGGAUAACUCAAGCAGAUUGGGACAGUUUCACAAACUAGGAGCAAAGUAAAAAGAAUCGAGAAAGGUCAUUGAAAAAGAACACAAGCUAUCGAGGAGGCCGACGAGGAUACAUAUACUUUGGGGAAUAGAUUACAAAGGAACUUCAAAAGCAGUGGAUUCAUGUGACUCAGGUGCCUCGACAUUUAGUUUGGCUAAGAGCUCAUUCAACCGAAAAGGAAGGAGCGAUGAUGUUUGAGAAUCCCGCCGAUUUGGAAAUCGCAGAAGCAAUCAAAGUGUUGGAUGCUCAAUCCCAAAGAGGUGAAAUUGUAGCCAAUGGUCGGGAUGAUAUAUUGGCAAAAGUAAUAAACAAACCCGAGCAAGGUGGUCGUGUUCGGGGUGUUGGAUCGGGGGUUACUAACAAGGAGUACUUUGGGUUCAAUCAACCAACGCCUCCUAACCAAUUGCUUGCAGAAAUUGUUCGUAUGAAAUUAGAGAUGGAAAACAUGAGAAACAACCAAACUAUAAUGAUGUCUUUUAUCAUGUCAGGUGGUGGCCAGUUUAGUGGUCCUAUUAGUCAUCUCUCAGGUGGUCCCCAAUUGAGUGGUCCUAUUAAUCAAGGGUUUGGUGCUGGUGCCCAAUUGAGUGGUCCUAUUAGUCAAGGGUUAGGCGCUGGUGCCCAAUUUGGCGAUUUUAGUACACAACGUGGUGGGUUUGACAUACAAAUUGGUGGUCAAGGGAUAGGAAAUGGCCCAUUUAAUAGUUUCACUCAGCUUCUUUGUGGUAAUGGUGUCGAAGGUUCUGUUGGUGCCCAGUUGAGUGCAUUUGAUGAAGAGCUUGGUGGUUCCCGUGGCAAAUUUAAGUCGAAGUAGUGGCAAAAAUGGUGCAUCUGGUGGCCAUGAGUUUGGUGGUAGUAACUUUCCUACUUCCACUGGCCUUAGGAAGGGAGGUGUUUGUUUGAAUGUUGAUUCUGAGCCAUCUCAUGAGGUGAUAAAACCAUACCAUGUUCCUUGGCCUCAGCAAUCCCAUCCUAACCAUGUUCAAAUCCCCGAGAUAAAUUGUGAUCAUUUGCCUAACACAGAGCUUGAGCCUAACAAUCAUGAUUAUACUUUUCCCAAGGGUUGGAGUGAAUGUUCUUUGGCAAUUGAAAAUAACAAAGGAGUCGAAAUUGUUGCAAUUGGAGAGGUUGAGGUAGCAGAUGCAUCAGAAGUGAUACGCGUGCAUAAUGUUCGUUUGACGAAUGAUCUUCGUCGAGUUAAGGUUCUUCAAGAUUUAGUUCCCUCUGCACCCUUGCCAUGUCCUACGGAUGAAUUCACUUACGUUUGUCAGGCUAAGCAUAGUUUUGCUACAUGGCCAGUUCACUUGAUUUUUCCAAAAACAAAGGUAACGUAAAUAAUUUCUUCUCCAUUUCAAUAUUUUAAUAAUUGCUUCAAUGUCUGGGGGUCAAGCAAUUAGAUCAUGUAUACCGUCAUUUUGGAGCCUCACACACCAAAUAAUCGAAUACUGCUUGUAAAAUAGAGGCAACUUAGCUCUGAGUACAAUAAUUGUAUAUAUGAGUAUGACUGAGCUUAGUUAGUGUAUGUUAAUUUUUUCUUUCUACAUUCAGUAAAUUAUAUAUAAACGUUGUUCUCACGAAACAAUUUGGCAAGUUAAUUGUUCACACUAGAAGUAUGUAACAAGUAGUUUAUCAAUUCUACAGUGAACUGUAUGAAUUAUGCAAUCUUUGGGGGUUAAUAUGUUCAUCAGAAUUAUGCUUUUAGUUACAAGUGAUUGCGCUUGUUUCGGCUUUUCAGGUGUGAACAAUAAGAACUCUUAAGUUAGACGAAAAUUUGCUAUUGCCUAGGUGAACUGCAGCUCACCAGUAAGAUGAUUAAACUUGGCUUUGGGAGUUGUGUCCGAGAAAGGAACCUGUGAGGCUGUAAUGGUUAAGCACUAUGUUUGAAAGUAGGUAACUGGUGUAGCAAUUACUGAGUCGAGGUGUUUUUUCUUAUAUAUAUGUACUCUGUACAAAAUGGCACCUAAGAGGGGAAGUCGAGAGGUGUUUCAAUCGUCUUUUACAUCUUCCUCCUGAAGAACAAACUGAUUUCACAGGACAAUUUUCCUUGUUUAUCACUGAGCUUGCUUUGUUGUUCACUAAAGUCAACCGACUUCUGCAAUUUUGAUUGCCUCUUGGUUCGUUAUUAAGAGAAAUCCAGCUAGAAUCAUUUCCAGAAGCCGUAGAUUUAUUUUCUCUCAUGUCUUCACCAGUUUCAGUGAAUCCUAAAGAGUCUACACUGCCCUUUUGCUGCUCCACUUUCACUAUUGACAUAAGAUCUUCGGCUCUAAUGCUUGGACAUACACCAGAUUUAUCUAGGAUGGUACUGGAGAUAUAUGGUUCUGCUCUGACAGUCCUCUGAUAUGAGAUUCUUUCAGGACACAAAUUGUUCUUAGAAGAUAAUAAGUUGCUUGUUUCUGUACCAUCCUCCUGCACAUUUUAUAAAUCAGAAAGAGUGGGAUUGGCUGAAAUGCUUAAUAGAGAUAUCUUAACUACGGUAAUUUUCAAUCCAAGGAAGGAUCAUUCCUCUCUCCAAGAUAAAUUGACACGAGUCCUUGAGAUUGUCCCUGUGCAUUAGAGUACUUCAUCUUUGACUUUCUUCACAGGCAACUCCUUCAAAUGAUCUUCUCUUCCUUUGUCAACCUCUUCCUUAUUACCAAAAUUAUAGUCACUUGAAAGUGGAAUAUCAAAAUCAGCACUAUCUAUAUCUGGAGAAUUGUAUACAUAACUGGAGAAUUAGACGUAAUUUUGUGAUUUAUUAUUUGUUCAUGUAUAUUUCUUUUGUAUUUUAUUACUUGGGCCCUUUUUUCCGACAUAAAACAACUAAAUUGAAUUAAUUGCUUGAUACUUUUUUUGUUUGUUUGAAUGUUGAUUUUGAGCCAUCUCAUUAUAAAUGUCGAUGCACAAGCAACAAAAUCAUUUGCUGCUCCAUCCCCACAAAUGCCAUCAUCACAAGCAUCAAACAAUCGAAAAUAUGUGAUCACUGAUAAGGAUCUUGCCAAGUUGACAACUACUUCAUUGCGAACUUUCAAGAAUCAAGCCAUGAGAAUGAAAUCAAGUGGUGCAUGCAUAUCAAUUAGAAUACCGGCAACUGUGUAUGGUCAUGAGGAGACACUUACCCUUGAUUAUGAAGCGAUGCUUGAUUGGUGCUUCCAAAGAGAGAUCGGAGUGACUCACUUGUCCAUUUUCAUGAAUGCAAGAUACUUGAGCGAAAAGUGUCAACAAGGUGGUGUAUGUGGGAUGUAUGGAUUCUGUGACUCAAAUUAUUUAUCUCCUAUGACACAAACCAAUAAAGAAGAGCAAGUCGACUAUCUAGCUCGUAUCUUUGGCCAAAAUGAAGGGAAUAAUGUCAAUCAACUAUUCUUUGCACCUUAUCAUGAGAAUCGACAUUGGAUGCUAGCGGUCAUUAGUCUGUGGAACGGAGUGGUGUUUUGGCUUGAUCCUGCUGGAGUGAAAAAUGAUAUUCCUGAAUUUGCUCAAAGGACCAUAAAUGAGGGAAUCAUAAAAUUUAGUCUCGUAUAUCGAAAGGACAUUAAGAAAAUGAAAAGAAUCCGACAAUUAAGUGGAAAAAACCUGAGUGUCCUCGUCAAUCCCAAGAAUCUCUGGACUGUGGAUAUUAUAUAGUCGAUAUAUGCUCGAGACUAUAGAGAAAAGGGACAAGUGAUUCCUGAUAAGUACUUUGGCGGAGUUACAACUGAAUUUCCUCAAAAUAAGCUUGACGAGUUGAGAGACUUAUGGAUCAAAUACGGGAGGAAUAUAAACAAGCGGAAGAAGAGGAAUCUGAAGAAAGUGUCGAUUUUGAUUAGGUGUUAAGCGGGAUUAGAUAGGUAAUUAGUUAGAACAAUGAGUUGAUUAAUUUACUCUGCAUAUGAGUUGAAAGAAAUAAUGGCUGCUUUAGGUAUCUUUUGAUAAGUUGAUUUUUUGAAUCUUCAUAUAUCGAUAUUAUUUUGUAAUGAAUUAUGGUAUUGCAUUAAUGAAAUUUUUGUCAAGUUA